CCCUGACCGGUGGGGCCACGCGAGUGGAAAGCCGGGAGCGGAUAAGCCAUGAGUGCCGCGCAUGCAAAAACCAUGGCAGCC
ncrna:unclassified sequences Proteo-phage-1 RNA